rnacentral:rRNA from 1 species
GAUGAACGCUGGCGGCGUGCUUAACACAUGCAAGUCGAGCGAGAGAGUUCUUCGGAACAAUCUAGCGGCGGACGGGUGAGUAACACGUGGGCAACCUGCCUCAUAGAGGGGAAUAGCCUUCCGAAAGGAAGAUUAAUACCGCAUAACAUCGUUGAAGGGCAUCCUUCGAUGAUCAAAGGAGUAAUCCGCUAUGAGAUGGGCCCGCGGCGCAUUAGCUAGUUGGUGAGGUAACGGCUCACCAAGGCGACGAUGCGUAGCCGACCUGAGAGGGUGAUCGGCCACAUUGGGACUGAGACACGGCCCAGACUCCUACGGGAGGCAGCAGUGGGGAAUAUUGCACAAUGGGGGAAACCCUGAUGCAGCAACGCCGCGUGAGUGAUGACGGCCUUCGGGUUGUAAGGCUCUGUCUUUGGGGACGAUAAUGACGGUACCCAAGGAGGAAGUCACGGCUAACUACGUGCCAGCCGCCGCGGUAAGAC